AGCCGGCUGGUACCAUGAGGUGACUUCUGCCCAGUGCUCUGAUUGUCAUGGCAAAGAGAUUUAGCCAAGCGCGGGUAAACGGCGGGAGUAACUAUGACUCUCUUAAGGUAGCCAAAUGCCUCGUCAACCAAUUAUUGACGCGCAUGAAUGGAUCAACGAGAUUCCUGCUGUCCCUAGGUGCUGUCCGGUGAACCAACAGCCAAGGGAACGGGCUUGGGCGUGUCAGCGGGGAAAGAAGACCCUGUUGAGUUUGACUCUAGUUUGAUGCUGUGCAACGACAUGUGGGGUGUAGCAUAGGUGGGAGGCCAGUGCCAUCGGCCAUCCCACAGCAGCAGUGUCCACUGGGCAUGGGCCAAAUGCUCAUCUCCCUGCCCAGUUUGACGUCGGCUCUUCCUGGAUGAUAUGGUGCAAACCAGCAGUGAAAUACCACUACCUUCACCGUCGUUUUACUCAUCGAGUGGCUUGGGAACAGUGGCCAUUGGACAUCGGCUCCUGCAUACCCUGUGGGAGUCGCGGCCUCAUCCUGCUUCGUGUGUCAAGUGCAGUUCACUGCCUCCAGCAGUGGCUGCGUGACCCUGGGGUCCUUGUGGACACCCUUCCGUUGAUUCGGUGCCUCGGGACAAUGAUCAGUUGGGGAGUUUGGCUGGGGCGGCACGCCUGUUACAGGACAACGCAGGCGUCCUGAAGCAUUGCUCAGAUGGAACAGAAAUCUUGCGUGGAGGAGCAGGCCAAAGGUGCUGCUGAUGCUGCGACUUCCAGUACAAGUCCAAAGCGUGCAAACGUGGCCUUGCGAUCCUUUGGUCAAGUGUGCGGAUUCUGGAUAUUGAAGCCAGAGGUGUCAGAAAAAUUACCACAGGGAUAACUGGCUUGUGGCUGCCAAGCGUUCAAAGCGACGUCGCUUUUUGAUCCUUCGAUGUCGGCUCUUCCUAGCUUCCCACCCGCAGCCGAGUGGAAGAGUUGGAUUGUUCACCCACCAACAGGGAACGUGAGCUGG
rnacentral:rRNA from 1 species